rnacentral:rRNA from 1 species
UUAUACGCGUGCAACUGCGAAUGGCUCAUUAAAUCAGUUAUCGUUUAUUUGAUAGUACCUUACUACUUGGAUAACCGUGGUAAUUCUAGAGCUAAUACAUGCUAAAAACCCCGACUUCGGAAGGGGUGUAUUUAUUAGAUAAAAAGCCAAUGCCCUCCGGGGCUCUUUGGUGAUUCAUAGUAACUUAACGGAUCGCAUGGCCUUGCGCCGGCGACGGUUCAUUCAAAUUUCUGCCCUAUCAACUUUCGAUGGUAAGGUAUUGGCUUACCAUGGUUUCAACGGGUAACGGGGAAUUAGGGUUCGAUUCCGGAGAGGGAGCCUGAGAAACGGCUACCACAUCCAAGGAAGGCAGCAGGCGCGCAAAUUACCCAAUCCCGACACGGGGAGGUAGUGACAAUAAAUACUGAUACAGGGCUCUUUUGGGUCUUGUAAUCGGAAUGAGUACAAUUUAAACCCCUUAACGAGGAACAAUUGGAGGGCAAGUCUGGUGCCAGCAGCCGCGGUAAUUCCAGCUCCAAUAGCGUAUAUUAAAGUUGUUGCAGUUAAAAAGCUCGUAGUUGAACCUUGGGCCUGGCUGGCCGGUCCGCCUCACCGCGUGUACUGGUCGGCCGGGCCUUUCCUUCUGGAGAACCCCAUGCCCUUCACUGGGUGUGCGGGGGAACCAGGACUUUUACUGUGAAAAAAUUAGAGUGUUCAAAGCAGGCCUUUGCUCGAAUACGUUAGCAUGGAAUAAUAGAAUAGGACGUGCGAUCCUAUUUUGUUGGUUUCUAGGACCGCCGUAAUGAUUAAUAGGGAUAGUCGGGGGCAUCAGUAUUCAAUUGUCAGAGGUGAAAUUCUUGGAUUUAUUGAAGACUAACUACUGCGAAAGCAUUUGCCAAGGAUGUUUUCAUUAAUCAGUGAACGAAAGUUAGGGGAUCGAAGACGAUCAGAUACCGUCGUAGUCUUAACCGUAAACUAUGCCGACUGGGGAUCGGUCGAUGUUUCUAUCUUGACUCGCUCGGCACCCUAAGACAAAUCAAAGUUUCUCGGUACUGGGGGGAGUUAUUCUAAGAUGUUU